rnacentral:misc_RNA from 1 species
CAAAAUCCUCAAAAAUGAUUCCUGGUAUAAUAUUUGUGUUUUUGUAGUUUCUUAAUUACUUGGCCUAAAGAAUCUUACUUUCUAUUUUGCACGAUUGAUUAAUCUUCUGAAUCUUUAUCGACUUUGGUCUUAAAUCAGUAGUUUUGUUGUUAAAUUUGCAUGUUCUGUUGCCUUUAAGGCCUCUGCAAUAUUAUGAGAAGGAAAAAUUCUUGCUUCUUAAUUGUGUUUGUUAGAAUAUCUUUGCUGCAGCUGGUGCAUUCUGAUGCAAGAAGUUUCUUUAGUUAAUAUUCUAGUUAUGUUAUUUUGUCAUAGUGGAUUUGUGCCUUUUUACUGCGAAGUCUAUUUGAAGAACCGAUCAAAUGGAAAUUUGAUGAUGGUUAUCAUGGAGAUAUUAUUAGAGGAAUGUCUUCAUGCGUUAAAUGUUUCAUAGCUAAUAAAUAAUAGUGUGUGAAGUCUAGAACAAUUUGGGGAUCUGAGUAUGUUACUAUGGCUGAACUUAGCAAGUUUUUUUUUUAAUUAUUAUUAUUUGUUUUUCUGUUGGUCUUAAAUAGAUAUUUAGUACAAGUAGCAUAAUAAUGAUCAAGUCAUGAGAGCUAAACAUGUGGGGUAAUGGUGGAUUUAUUGCGGGAAGUUGCAGGAAGAUGCAUGUACUCAUUUGAAAGAUAUGGGAAAUUGCUUGUAGCUGAAUUUAUUUAUAUAUCUUGAUUAAGCAUUGUCUAUUCUAAUGUUUGUUAUUAAUAACUAAUGGACUGUGUUAUCUUCUUCUGCAGUUAUGUUGAUGGGCACUUUAGUU